rnacentral:rRNA from 1 species
CUCUGGGAUGGACCUGCGGUGCAUUAGCUAGUUGGUAAGGUAACGGCUUACCAAGGCGAUGAUGCAUAGCCGAGUUGAGAGACUGAUCGGCCACAAUGGAACUGAGACACGGUCCAUACUCCUACGGGAGGCAGCAGUAGGGAAUCUUCCACAAUGGGCGCAAGCCUGAUGGAGCAACACCGCGUGAGUGAAGAAGGGUUUCGGCUCGUAAAGCUCUGUUGUUGGAGAAGAACGUGCGUGAGAGUAACUGUUCACGCAGUGACGGUAUCCAACCAGAAAGUCACGGCUAACUACGUGCCAGCAGCCGCGGUAAUACGUAGGUGGCAAGCGUUAUCCGGAUUUAUUGGGCGUAAAGCGAGCGCAGGCGGUUGCUUAGGUCUGAUGUGAAAGCCUUCGGCUUAACCGAAGAAGUGCAUCGGAAACCGGGCGACUUGAGUGCAGAAGAGGACAGUGGAACUCCAUGUGUAGCGGUGGAAUGCGUAGAUAUAUGAAAGAACACCAGUGGCGAAGGCGGCUGUCUGGUCUGCAACUGACGCUGAGGCUCGAAAGCAUGGGUAGCGAACAGGAUUAGAUACCCUGGUAGUCCAUGCCGUAAACGAUGAGUGCUAGGUGUUGGAGGGUUUCCGCCCUUCA